AGGGGGAAGAAGGUGAAGAUCCUCAGAGAUUUCUGGAGGAGACUGAAAAGAUGAUACGGAGACUGCCCUAUUCUGAUGCAAGAGCUAUAGAACUUGUAGGGCUUACAAUGAAGGAAGAUGCCUGGGACUGGUACCAGAGACAAGUGGAGGACAGAUUGUACAGUAGGAAUCCUUCAACCUGGGAAGAGUUCAGGCAAGCAGUGAUGGAUGAGUUUUUGUCUCCGGCUGAGAGGCAAAAUCGGGCUCUUCAGUUUGAGCGUAUCUGAGUACGCUCGUGAGUUCACUAGAUUGGGGAAGUAUGCUCCUUACAUCAUCCCCACUAAAGCUGCCAGGAUAGAAAGAUUCAGGCGGGGUCUGAUUUUCCCGCUUUAUAAUGCAGUACUGGCAGUAGAGGUCCCCACCUUGUCUNNNNNNNNNNNNNNNNNNGGAAUGAGCGUAUCUAAGUACGCUCGUGAGUUCACUAGAUUAGGAAGUAUGCUCCUUACAUCAUCCCCACUGAAGCUGCCAGGAUAGAAAGAUUCAGGCGGGGUCUGAUUUCCCCGCUUUAUAAUGCAGUACUGGCAGUAGAGGUCCCCACCUUAUCUAGGCUGAUUGAUAAAACAAAACAGUGGGAGACCAGAAACAAAGAGGAAAGAGCUGAAAGAGAACAGAGGAAAAUGAGUAUGGGGAAAGGGCAAAGCAGUAGAGAUAGAUCUGAGGGAGUAGAUCUCUCGGAGGACCCGAUGGAGCAGUCUGUACGCUCAGCUCCACCUGCCCCACGUAAGAGGAAAUGGAGGGNN
rnacentral:lncRNA from 1 species